rnacentral:lncRNA from 1 species
UAUGUAUUUAUUAUAGGUAUAAUAUUUUCAUAAAUAGUUGCAUCUUAAAUUCUUUCAAUAUUAAAAAAAGACAUAGCAAAUUUAACUAGGUAUUUAAUCUAAGAAUUUAGAAAGAGAACAGAGCCAAAAGAAAAGAGAGGAAAUCAACAAAGCUAAAAAUCAGAAAUUAAUUCAAGAGAACAUAAAUAAUAGAAAAAUAAUGGAAAAAAUUAAAAACCAAGCCUGAUUCUUUGAAAAGACCAACAAAAUUGAUAAGCCUAUAAGCCCUUCCAGGCACACCUGGUUAAGAAAAAAAAGAAAGAGAAACAAACAAUAUUAGAUAUGAGGGAAAAAGAGAUUCGUCGCAGGUCCAGAGAAGGUUAGUGAAUUGUGCCAACGGGGUAUGUGAGCCUAUGAAAAUAAAUGUGAAAGCCUAGAAGAAAUGGAUGAUCACCAAGCAAAGUAGAAAAUUAUCAAAGUCAAGCACAGAAGUUGAAAUCUUGAAUAGGCCAGUAAACAGAAGAUUUUUUUUUUCUUUUUCUUUUUUAUCUUUUUGAGGGCUGCACCCGCGACAUGUGGAGGUUCCCAGGCUAGGGGUCUAAUCGGAGCUGUAGCUGCCGGCCUACACCACAGCCACAGCCACAGCAACACCAGAUCCGAGCCGCGUCUGCACAUACACCACAGCUCACGGCAACACCGGAUGGGGGAUCCUUAACCCACUGAGCAAGGCCAGGGAUUGAACCCACAAUGUCAGUGGAUUCGUUUCCACUGCGCCACGACGGGAACUCCAGAAGACCUGUUUUUUUGCUUUUUUUUUUUUUAAUGAAUACUCUGGUAUUAAAACAUUACAAGAUGCCACAUGAUGCAGCAAUCCUACUUCUGGGCAUAGACCCAAAGGCGCUGGAAACAAGGUCUCGAAGAGAUUGUCACACACUCUUGCUCAUGGCAGCCUCAGUCACGGGAGCCAAAAGGUGGAAGCAACCCAGUGUCCACUGAUGGGUGGAUAGGUAGCCAAAACGUGGUCUAUACAAACAGCGGAAUAGCAUCCAGCCUUAAAAAGGAAGGAAAUUCUGACACACACUACGGCAGGACCAACCUUGAGGACAGUAAGCUAAACGAAGUAAGCCCGUCACAGAAAAACAAACCCUGAAGGACUCCGCCUGUAGGAGGUACUGGAACGGGAAGAAGAGGUCUCCCCCCAUGUUAGAGCUGUUCCUUGUCCUUCA